rnacentral:rRNA from 1 species
UGCGUAGGCGGGCUAAUAAGUCAGUGGUGAAAUCUCUCGGCUCAACCGGGAAACUGCCAUUGAUACUGUUAGUCUUGAGUUCGGUUGAGGUAGGCGGAAUGUGUAAUGUAGCGGUGAAAUGCUUAGAUAUUACACAGAACACCAAUUGCGUAGGCAGCUUACUGGACCGACACUGACGCUGAGGCACGAAAGCGUGGGGAGCGAACAGGAUUAGAUACCCUGGUAGUC